rnacentral:rRNA from 1 species
UACGGAGGGUGCGAGCUUUGUCCGGAAUCAUUGGGCGUAAAGGGCGCGUAGGUGGCCCGGUCAGUUCGUGGUGAAAGCGCGGGGCUCAACCCUGCGUCGGCCAUGAAUACUGCCGCGGCUGGAGCACUGUAGAGGCAGGCGGAAUUCCGGGUGUAGCGGUGGAAUGCGUAGAGAUCCGGAAGAACACCGGUGGCGAAGGCGGCCUGCUGGGCAGUUGCUGACACUGAGGCGCGACAGCGUGGGGAGCAAACAGG